GGGUGGAACAAAAUCAUUUCUACAUAUUCCUUUCUACAUAAGAAAAUGCGUGUACAAAGUCAGGAAUGUGACAGUUGUUAUCCAUUCGUUUGAUUUGUUUGAGCUUUUGAUUUUGCCAUUUGAUUAGGGACUUUCUGUUUGAAAUUUUUCUCGGAGUUCAGUAUUUUUGUGAUUUUAAUUUUUUUUAAAUACCAGGCUAUAAUUUUGUAUGCCAGAAACACGUUUCGUCUACGAACUACUUGUCAGUGACGCUCGAUUCAAAGAUAAAAGGUCAUAUAACAUCAUUGAGGACCAUCCAUUCUGAAUUCUAAUGCAACAACGUUUGUAACGUUCAUUUUGAUCGGAUAACUUCACUUAUUUACAUGGCAUCAAUUGACAAUUGGUGCUAUGGGACGAACGCGCAUAUGACAGAUUUUUGAUACAUGUUUUAACGUUGUUCUUCUGUCAGUUUCAUUAGAAUGGAGAUAACAAUAUCGUAUUUAAAGCUAACGCGUCUCCAGUAACCUUAAUUUGCGACCAUCAAAUCCCCAAUUGAUGCCGUCGGAGCUUUAAAUACAAUAUUGUUAUCUCCAUUCUAAUGAAACUGACAGAAAAACAACGUUAAAACAUGUAUAGUUAUAUAUAUAUAUUUUAUACUAUACCAAAGCUAGUUUUAUAGAAAUAUAUAAUUAUAUCUACUACACAAUAGUG
rnacentral:lncRNA from 1 species